UACGAAGGGGGCUAGCGUUGUUCGGAAUCACUGGGCGUAAAGCGCACGCAGGCGGCUCGAUAAGUCGGGGGUGAAAGCCCGGGGCUCAACCUCGGAACUGCCUUUGAUACUGUCGGGCUCGAGUCCGGGAGAGGUGAGUGGAAUUCCUAGUGUAGAGGUGAAAUUCGUAGAUAUUAGGAAGAACACCAGUGGCGAAGGCGGCUCACUGGCCCGGUAAUGACGCUCAGGUGCGAAAGCGUGGGGAGCAAACAGG
rnacentral:rRNA from 1 species